AAUGCCAUCAGAAAAUGAUUAGCUGAGUCAGUGAUGGCACAUGCAACCAGAUUUGUCUCCUAACUAGAUCUUACCAUUUAUUCUUAUGCAGCUACUAUCCAGUCUCAGCAAGACAAAUGCACUUUCUAAAACAGCAGAGACUAACAAGAGACCUUAGGGCUUAAAAAAAUAGUAUAGAAUUAUGUAAUAUGUGGAAACAUUCUUAUUAUCAGUAUUAAAAACCCCACAGAGAAAUGAGUCAGAAAUGUGAAGAAAAUGUAAAACACCAAAGCCAAUAAAUAGCCAUUACACUCUCCCUCAUCCUAAGCAGGUGGCUGCAGCCUCCAUGUGGGAUUCUCCCAAGAAGACCCGUGGGGAGGCAGGAGGGUCCCAGCAGGUGGCAGGAUCCCACUGGUGAAAGGGUGCAGCCCUGGAGGAGGCCCUUGGCACCUGUACCCAGACCUCACCUCUCUGCCUAUCUGGAGCAGCCUGGAGUUCCCGUCCUUGCUGUAAAGAUGCUGAUUUGUUGCAUCUUCUGGGUCCUGUGUGCUGACGGCUAUGUGAGCUGUCCAAUCAGGCGCGGUGACAUCACUGCCACAUAAUCACACUGGAUUGUGACACCACAGAGUUCCAAAUUCCUGGAGGAGAGAGGUUCAAGGAGGAGCCUCUGCCGCUUGGAGACUCAGGAGCUAGUGCGGCAUCCGUUGUUCUCUGACCUUUUCCACCCAACACAGCCCAUCUCAUAUGCCUGGGAAUGGUGAUGAUAGCAUUUGAAGAGCUUGCUGUGUACUUUACCUGGGAGGAAUGGCAGAACAUGAACCAAGCUCAGAAAAUCCUGUACAGGGAUGUGAUGCUGGAGACCUACAGCAGCCUGUCCUCUGUGGGACACUGCGUGAACAAACCUGACUUGAUCUUCAAGUUGGAGCUAGGAGCAGAGCCCUGGAUGGGGGAAGAAUGCCUACAUCAGAGCCUUCCAG